rnacentral:rRNA from 1 species
CGAGCGCAACCCCUAACUUGUUAGUUGCCAUCAUUCAGUUGGGCACUCUAGCGAGACUGCCGGUAAUAAACCGGAGGAAGGUGGGGAGUGACGUCAAAUCAUCAUGCCCCUUACUGACCUGGGCUACACACGUGCUACAAUGGUUGGUACAACGAGUUGCGAGUCGGUGACGGCGAGCCAAUCUCUUAAAGCCAAUCUCAGUUCGGAUUGUAGGCUGCAACUCGCCUACAUGAAGUCGGAAUCGCUAGUAAUCGCGGAUCAGCACGCCGCGGUGAAUACGUUCCCGGGCCUU